AUUGAACGCUGGCGGCAUGCCUUACACAUGCAAGUCGAACGGCAGCGGGGACUUCGGUCCGCCGGCGAGUGGCGAACGGGUGAGUAAAGUAUCGGAACGUACCUUUCAGUGGGGAUAACGUAGCGAAAGUUACGCUAAUACCGCAUAUUCUGUGAGCAGGAAAGCAGGGGAUCGCAAGACCUUGCGCUGAUUGAGCGGCCGAUAUCAGAUUAGCUAGUUGGUGAGGUAAAGGCUCACCAAGGCGACGAUCUGUAGCGGGUCUGAGAGGAUGAUCCGCCACACUGGAACUGAGACACGGUCCAGACUCCUACGGGAGGCAGCAGUGGGGAAUUUUGGACAAUGGGGGCAACCCUGAUCCAGCCAUGCCGCGUGAGUGAAGAAGGCC
rnacentral:rRNA from 1 species